GCAUAUCAAUAAGCGGAGGAAAAGAAACCAACAGGGAUUGCCUUAGUAACGGCGAGUGAAGCGGCAACAGCUCAAAUUUGAAAGCUGGCCCUUUCAGGGUCCGCAUUGUAAUUUGUAGAGGAUGAUUCGGCGAGGGCUCCCGCCUAAGUCCCCUGGAACGGGGCGUCAUAGAGGGUGAGAAUCCCGUAUGCGGUGGGCUGCCUUAGCCAUGUGAAUCUCCUUCGACGAGUCGAGUUGUUUGGGAAUGCAGCUCUAAAUGGGAGGUAAAUUUCUUCUAAAGCUAAAUACCGGCCAGAGACCGAUAGCGCACAAGUAGAGUGAUCGAAAGAUGAAAAGCACUUUGGAAAGAGAGUUAAAAAGUACGUGAAAUUGUUGAAAGGGAAGCGCUUGCAACCAGACUUGUCCGCAGUUGCUCAGCCGGUCUCCUGACCGGCGUACUCUUCUGCGGCCAGGCCAGCAUCAGUUCGGGCGGUCGGAUAAAGACCUCGGGAAUGUAGCUCCUCUCGGGGAGUGUUAUAGCCCGGGGUGGAAUGCGGCCAGCCUGGACUGAGGAUCUCGCUUCGGCAAGGAUGCUGGCGUAAUGGUUGUAAGCGGCCCGUCUUGAAACACGGACCAAGGAGUCUAACAUCUAUGCGAGUGUUUGGGUGUCAAACCCAUACGCGUAAUGAAAGUGAACGGAGGUGGGAACCCGCAAGGGUGCACCAUCGGCCGAUCCUGAUGUCUUCGGAUGGAUUUGAGCAAGAGCAUAGCUGUUGGGACCCGAAAGAUGGUGAACUAUGCCUGAAUAGGGUGAAGCCAGAGGAAACUCUGGUGGAGGCUCGCAGCGGUUCUGACGUGCAAAUCGAUCGUCAAAUUUGGGUAUAGGGGCGAAAGACUAAUCGAACCAUCUAGUAGCUGGUUCCUGCCGA
rnacentral:rRNA from 3 species